rnacentral:rRNA from 1 species
AGUUUGAUCCUGGCUCAGGAUGAACGCUGGCGGCGUGCCUAACCCAUGCAAGUCGAACGGUCCCGCAAGGGAUAGUGGCGAACGGGUGAGUAACACGUAGAUAUCUGCCUCGCCGGAGGGAAUAACUCCUCGAAAGAGGAGCUAAUACCCAAAAGGGUCCGCAAGGAUCAGAGUCCGCAAGGGCCUGGCGAGAGGAGUCUGCGGCCCAUCAGCUAGUUGGUAGGGUAAUGGCCUACCAAGGCUAUGACGGGUAGGGGGUCUGAGAGGAUGUCCCCCCACACUGGAACUGAAACACGGUCCAGACACCUACGGGUGGCAGCAGGGAGGAAUAUUGGACAAUGGGGGAAACCCUGAUCCAGCAACGCCGCGUGAGGGAUGAAGGCCUUCGGGCUGUAAACCUCUUUUCAGGGAGAAGAGAAAGGACGGUAUCCCUGGAAUAAGCCACGGCUAACUACGUGCCAGCAGCCGCGGUAAUACGUAGGUGGCGAGCGUUAUCCGGAUUUACUGGGCGUAAAGCGCUUGUAGGCGGCUUCGUAAGUUGGGCGUGAAAGCUCCGGGCUUAACCCGGAGAGGUCGUUCAAUACUGCGAAGCUCGAGGGUGCCAGAGGAAGGUGGAAUUCCUGGUGUAGCGGUGAAAUGCGUAGAUAUCAGGAGGAACACCCGUGGCGAAGGCGGCCUUCUGGGGCAUUCCUGACGCUGAGAAGCGAAAGCUAGGGGAGCAAACAGGAUUAGAUACCCUGGUAGUCCUAGCCGUAAACGAUGGAUGCUAGGUGUUGGCGGAUAAAAAACCGUCAGUGCCGAAGCUAACGCGUUAAGCAUCCCGCCUGGGGAGUACGGCCGCAAGGCUAAAACUCAAACGGAAUUGA